rnacentral:rRNA from 1 species
CACGUAGGGUGCGAGCGUUGUCCGGAAUUACUGGGCGUAAAGGGCUCGUAGGCGGCCAACUAAGUCAGACGUGAAAUCCCUCGGCUUAACCGGGGAACUGCGUCUGAUACUGGAUGGCUAGAGUUUGGGAGAGGGAUGCGGAAUUCCAGGUGUAGCGGUGAAAUGCGUAGAUAUCUGGAGGAACACCGGUGGCGAAGGCGGCAUCCUGGACCAACACUGACGCUGAGGAGCGAAAGCCAGGGGAGCAAACGGG